GUUUAUACAUGCAAGCGAGCGAGGACGGUAGCAAUACCGAGCCGAGCGGCGAACGGGUGAGUAACGCGUAAGCAAUCUGCCCCACAAUCGGGAACAACCGUGCCAACGCGCGGCUAAUGCCGGAUAUUGUAGUCUACUGCAUAGUAGGCCAACGAAAGAUUUAUUGUUGUGGGAUGAGCUUGCGUCCGAUUAGCUAGUUGGCGGGGUAAUAGCCCACCAAGGCGACGAUCGGUAGCCGGCCUGAGAGGGCGAUCGGCCACAUUGGGACUGAGAUACGGCCCAGACUCCUACGGGAGGCAGCAGUAGGGAAUAUUGCGCAAUGGGGGGAACCCUGACGCAGCCAACGCCACGUGUGGGAAGAAGCAUUUCGGUGUGUAAACCACUGUCGGAAAGGAAUAACGGAAGACUUCGGUCUUUAUGAAUGUACUUUUAGAGGAAGCACCGGCAAACUUCGUGCCAGCAGCCGC
rnacentral:rRNA from 1 species